CACUCAUGCUACUAGCCAUUUUUUAUAUGCUAUAGUUGGUUUUUCUUUUUCUUUUUUUUUUAAUGAUUUUAUUCAUGGACAGAGCUCGUAGAGAUACAUGAUGCCUUGAAGACACAUCAAACUGCAUAAUGAAGACAGAGGAGAGAUGGAACAAAUCAUCUAUUACUUGAGAUAAGAAACAUGAAGAUCAAUAGGACUUCUAGGAACUGAAGCAGUGUGUUGCACUAAACAUCCACCAGGGGGCGCCAGAGUGAGAGUCCGAGGG